GUGCAGCAUCAUUAAGAUUCACAAACCCUAAGAGCCUUAUGAUGGGUUUUGAUAUUGAUCACUCUUAUAGGACUUUAUAGAGAUGGGAAUCUUGAUGAUGCUGCAUCG
rnacentral:pre_miRNA from 1 species